UACGUAGGUGGCGAGCGUUGUCCGGAUUUACUGGGCGUAAAGGGCGUGCAGGCGGUUUGUUAAGUGCAGGGUGAAAGCUCCCGGCUCAACUGGGAGAGGUCCUUGCAUACUGGCGAACUCGAGGGAGGCAGAGGAAAGUGGAAUUCCCGGUGUAGUGGUGAUAUGCGUAGAUAUCUGGAGGAACACCGGUGGCGAAGGCGGCAUCCUGGACCAACACUGACACUGAGGAGCGAAAGCCAGGGGAGCAAACGGG
rnacentral:rRNA from 1 species